CUAUCGUCAGUUUCCUAUAUAAUACAAAUUGAACCCGAUUCUUAUAGAACCAAAUAAAAUACGAUAGGAUUUAUAUCUGAUUCUCGCGAAUGCUGACGCUUGCGAACGAUAGAGCUUAUAGAAAACAAUACAAAUUAAUCUAUCGUUCUCAAUCGUUCUCUAUCAACUCUUUUUACCAGGGUAGUCUAAUUUUUGUAAAAUUUUGACACACGCGCGCGACAUGUAGUUGCACUAUAUGACAAGAGUCCAUGACUAAAUACUACUAUUUCGAUUUGCUCAACGCAGAUUGUAUCUAGAAAAACGCUUGAGAGAAUCUUAACAAAAAUGAACUUUAUGCAAAUAUUUCCUUACUUCUAAGUACUCUGUAAGUUGACUAGGUCUUAAUGUAAAGAGAGAGAGAGAGGGGGGAGAGAGGAAGAGAGAAACGAAUAACCUUUUCAGUCCCUAUAUCCACAAUUGUGUGGGUCAGGUUUUGCCGCUCUAUCUUUUUCCCCGCUCUCGUUAAAUGAUUCAGACACCAUACGAUUGUGGAUGUUCUAUUCUCCAUUACGGAGCUUCAAGUAGUUGCAAAUCUUGCAAAUCUUGUUUUGUUUUUUGAAAAUGACAAAUUUUUAAAAAAAUUUUUUGCAUAUAUUUUUUAAUUUUGUAUAUAUUCUAAGUCAUAGAAAUGCCCUAAUAAUAUAAAUAAAUUCAAAAUUUCACUCUUGGGACUGAAAGGGAUAAGAUUCGAAUAUAAUUACUGCAGAUUUGGGUAGGAUACCCGAGCGUAAGAUUUGGUAAGAACACCCGAGGGAGUGGAGUGCUUAGUUGUAAGUAAGAUCAACGGUGUCGCGUCGACGCGGCGUCGGGAUUGGCCAGCCACCUGUUGCCUGCCGGCCGCGAUUGGUCGGAACUGGCGGCCCGCAUCAGCCGCUAGGGGAAGGAAGGCAAGUGCAUCGCUGUUCCCGCGUCGCGCCGGCGCGGGUCUACCGCGAUGAUGAACCAGGUUCGCGAUGACGGCCGGGAGCUGUUACGUCGCCGGAGAGGCGUCCUCACGCAAGAUAUUGGCCGUGCGAGAAUCGCACGAGCGAUUCUCAGCGCCGUGAGAUCGCCCAUCAGCGAAUAAUCGCGCGUGACUCUGCUCUUCGGUGACUCUCUAUGCCGACGCGAGGCGCUGAGACGAGCCCAGUGUCCACUCAUCCCGAUGGGAACGGGAAUUUAGCGUGACGCUGCUUUGCUUUGAUUAUAGAAAUUCAACUUGACAAGAUCACACAUUCUUCCAACAUCGGCCAAGUCGAGAGAGGAAAAAAGAAGCUGCUCCAGACUCGUUUUAAAUGAAUAAUUGGGACUCAUUGCUCUCAGAAGCAGGAUAUAAACGAGGACUGCUCGCAAACCGUGGAAUUUUAAUCGGCGAAGCUGCGAUGUAGCAAUUCGCGAUGAGACCGGAGGACGUUAAGGAAAUUAUCAAAGGGAUUCCUCGCGAUUCCGGCGAUGAGGUCGAUCCACUUUGGAUGCUCUCGCGCGCGCACACGGAACGCCGCUAACAGCCUGAUCCUAAUUGGCGCACCACGAGCGAGCCAUGAGGAAGUCGAGGGGAAGUCCAUGGGCCUCCUCGUGCGCGCAAAGCGCAGUUUCACGGAUAUCGCGCGCGCUCGGCCGAGUAGCAACGCGGCGCCGCAAGGAAGCGGCUCUCGACGAAGACGGAAGGGAGAAGAGGUCCGCGAUCAGGUGAGAGCGAGUGAGCGAAGAAGAGAGAAGGCGAGAGAGCAAGAGAGAAAAUAAAAGAGAGAGAAAGAGAGAGAGAAGAGAGCGAGUGAGCGAGUGAGCGAACACAUUGUGGUCGCUGACCCGCCCGGAACGUUGACUCCAUGUAGUCAGUCCCCCCUUUAUAUUUUCUUCCAUUCUCCGUUUACCGGCCGUCUUCUUGCCGUAUACCUUCGAUUACGGAGUUACCGCGGAGUUACCUUACCUUACCACCACGACUUGCCGCGCGUCACGUCUCGCCUCCUCGCGUCGCCCAUGCGUUGCCGCCGCGAUUGCGCGCUUCCCGGCCGCGUGCGACCCCGCCGGCGCACCGUCCUUCCCAUUUUUCACGAUUUUUUCCGACUGUUAUCUACUUUCUGUUUUACCUCCGCACCGUUAUUUUGCGCGCGCGCACGCUUUUCCCAUUUCCCAGUUCCCCGUUCCCGCCCGGUCUCGACAGGAGGGAUCACGGCGGAAACGUGGAGCAUGAUGUCAUUGUCGAUUCCAAUCUGUUUGUCGCUCGACUUCGCUCCGGCUAUAAGACGUAAUGCUCGGCGUGUAAGAAUGAAGCAUCCUUGACAUUUCAACAUUUUAAAUAUGUGUCCAAAUUCGAGAUGCUUUUCUCGUCUUGGGGCUGUAUCGUUUCCUGUAUUAGCAUUAAAAAGCAUCUAGUAUUACGUAACACUUGCUAUUAUAACUCGAGACGCACGCAAAUAUCGUUGAAUCGUACAAUAGCAAUGACUUCGACGUGUUCGACAGCCGUCACUUCUUAGCGCAGUCGUAAUUGUAUACGUAAUCUCACGGGCUCUUGGACACUCGCCACGGCCAUGUUGGUCACUGUGACGUCAGAAGCGAGAAAUGACAUGCUGAAAAUUCUUGCGCGUGCCAAUUCCAAAUACAAAAAUAUUUGUCUUCUUGAUUUGAGGUCACUUGAAUAUAUUUGUAAAGUGUUUCAAAAACUAUUCUUCUUAAUCAAUAAGCAGCCGCGACAAUAAACGUGGUAAAAUUAUGAGAAACAGUAGGUGGGUUAAAAAGGAAGGUUACAUGUUAAUUUUGUAAUUAUUUAUCGAUUGUUAGGGUAAAAGGUAAGGUGUUCAGAGUAUUUUAGAGGUGUGCUUAAUCGAUUGCAUCAUUUUUUGAAUAUAUUUUUUUUAUUUCGACAUAUCUUGCAUAUAGAAAUUUUGGGCAUGCUUCUGACGUUAUCAAUCAAGAGUUUCGCGGCGAGCCAGGCGUCCUGAAAAAAUACCGUCGACGAAAGGUAUCCUACGGUAAUUUCGGCGAUGACUGCGUCUCGGCACGUCUCUAGUGCAGAGUUACAAGUACCGUUAGAAUCGUUAUCGUUCCCGCAUCGAGUCUGGGAUUCGAAUCCUACUUACUAACGGUACUCAUUUAUUUCAAGCUGGAGAGGGCUGUCCUCCCCCUUCCUCUCUGGGUCGUUUUUAGCGCGAGGGAUCCUCCGCUUUAUGACUGUUUCACGAUAAUCACCUAAUCGUUAUUAAUGACCGAGCGAGUCGGAGGUGCGGCUUUUUGUCAUCGAUAGCGGGAGAACGUCGCAUUCCUUCUAUCAUCACACGGCGGCGAACUUAAUUUCCUUGAGAAAUUGCAAGAAAUUGAGGUCUUCUCCCCUAACCGUGUAAAAAAGGAGACAAUUGUGGAACGCAGGAAAUGUUGUCUCUUUCUCUCACACAGUCAAGUCAGUAAAUAAUACUGUAAAGAAAAGUCAAAGAGCAUUAAGAGAGAAUUUUGAGAUAAAUGACAUGAGACAAGACAUGACAUGACAUGAGAAGAGACAAGAAAGACACAUGUAUAUUUCUUUAUUACCAAACUUAAAUUUCUUCUCACUGUAUACAAUCUCCAUUUAUCUUGCCAUAUCCACGUGACGAAGCACUUUACUCGUUUAAUCCUUCGCGUACAAUGUUAGGCUUGUAAUAUCCGCAAUAUUCGGUCGCACGUCAACUUUCACAAAGGAUCCGAGAAAAUUUCAAAAUAGCGAAUUUGCAUAAUCAGACUUCAGUGCCCUACUAUUUUAUAGCUGAGACCUUACUCUAUAGUCGGUAUUCGUAGCCGGAUCUUAUAUCUAAGUUUGUCUUAAGACUCCUGGCCCCUGGCCUGGCAGUCAUCUUGAUUAGUAAUGUCAGAAGCGAGAAAAUGUGUACUCAAAGUUCCUGCAAAAUACGUCGAAAUAAAAGAUAUAUCUGAAAAAUAACACUUGCAAUCGCUUAAGCACAUUUCUAAGGUCCAUACUAAUAGUCGUUGCUUGAAAUUUGCUUUAGUGAGAUACUCAGACUUGAAUUUGGAGUUGGAUACGAAUAUUUCGGCUGAAUCGCGAUUCAAAUUAUAAUGUCGUAUAUAUUGUGCGAUUGAAGUAAAAAAAACUCAAAUACAACUCCAAAUUCAUAUCUAAGUGUCUCACGUAAGUCAAGUUUCAAAUAAUGACUAUUAAUAUGGACCUAAGACAUUCCGAGCACUUCUCUUUUGCUCUUUUGCUCUGCAAUCGAUAAAUAACCGUAAGGUUAACGUGACAAAGUAACGCGGAAAUGUAGGCUAAGAAGGAAAGUUGCAUGUCACGUUAAUU